GUGCCAGCAGCCGCGGUAAGACGAAGGUGGCUAGCGUUAUUCGGAUUUACUGGGCAUAAAGCGCGCGUAGGCGGCUCGACAAGUCGGAGGUGAAAGCCUGCAGCUCAACUGCGGUGUGCCUCCGAAACUGUCGAGCUUGAGUGCGGGAGGGGUGAUUGGAACUCCAGGUGUAGCGGUGAAAUGCGUAGAUAUCUGGAGGAACACCAGAGGCGAAGGCGAAUCACUGGACCGCAACUGACGCUGAGGCGCGAAAGCUAGGGGAGCAAACAGGAUUAGAUACCCCCGUAGUCC
rnacentral:rRNA from 1 species